CUUCAGUCAAGGGUUCGGCCAGGUCUAUGGCCAUCUCAAGGAUUUGGUUCUAAGACAGUUCACUCACACAGCUUGGCCAACCUCAGUUCCUUGUUGGCCACUGGCAGGAGACCUCAGUUUCCCAUCCUGUGGGCCUCUCUGUAGAGCUUCUUGGGUUUCCUCCUAACAUGGCAGCUGCCCAUCCCCAGAGAGAAUGAUCCCAGAUACACACAAAGGCAGAAGCUACAAUGUCUUUUAUGACCCAGCCUUGGAUGUCACAUACCAUCACUUCUGCCAUAAUCUACUGGUUUACACAGACCAAUUCUGGCAGAGUUUGGGAGAAGACUACACAACAAUGGGAUAUUAAAAGUCAGAUCUCUAGAUUUUUUCCUUCUGCCAAGAAAUCAACAUGAAGCUGUUUCCUUAGGCAUUUCAGGAUGAAGAAGAUAUGUGGAAUGGAGCCAUAGCUCUGUAGCCAACCAACAUGUAACUAAAUGAGAAAUAAAUCUUUGUAGUUACAAGUUCUACAA